rnacentral:rRNA from 2 species
GGCGUGCCUAAUACAUGCAGUCGAGCGAACUGAUUAGAAGCUUGCUUCUAUGACGUUAGCGGCGGACGGGUGAGUAACACGUGGGCAACCUGCCUGUAAGACUGGGAUAACUCCGGGAAACCGGAGCUAAUACCGGAUAACAUUUUCUCUUGCAUAAGAGAAAAUUGAAAGAUGGUUUCGGCUAUCACUUACAGAUGGGCCCGCGGUGCAUUAGCUAGUUGGUGAGGUAACGGCUCACCAAGGCAACGAUGCAUAGCCGACCUGAGAGGGUGAUCGGCCACACUGGGACUGAGACACGGCCCAGACUCCUACGGGAGGCAGCAGUAGGGAAUCUUCCGCAAUGGACGAAAGUCUGACGGAGCAACGCCGCGUGAGUGAUGAAGGCUUUCGGGUCGUAAAACUCUGUUGUUAGGGAAGAACAAGUACAAGAGUAACUGCUUGUACCUUGACGGUACCUAACCAGAAAGCCACGGCUAACUACGUGCCAGCAGCCGGUAAAUA